rnacentral:rRNA from 1 species
GUCGAACGCUUCUUUUUCCNCCGGAGCUUGCUCCACCGGAAAAAGAGGAGUGGCGAACGGGUGAGUAACACGUGGGUAACCUGCCCAUCAGAAGGGGAUAACACUUGGAAACAGGUGCUAAUACCGUAUAACAAUCNAAACCGCAUGGUUUUGAUUUGAAAGGCGCUUUCGGGUGUCGCUGAUGGAUGGACCCGCGGUGCAUUAGCUAGUUGGUGAGGUAACGGCUCACCAAGGCCACGAUGCAUAGCCGACCUGAGAGGGUGAUCGGCCACAUUGGGACUGAGACACGGCCCAAACUCCUACGGGAGGCAGCAGUAGGGAAUCUUCGGCAAUGGACGAAAGUCUGACCGAGCAACGCCGCGUGAGUGAAGAAGGUUUUCGGAUCGUAAAACUCUGUUGUUAGAGAAGAACAAGGAUGAGAGUAACUGUUCAUCCCUUGACGGUAUCUAACCAGAAAGCCACGGCUAACUACGUGCCAGCAGCCGCGGUAAUACGUAGGUGGCAAGCGUUGUCCGGAUUUAUUGGGCGUAAAGCGAGCGCAGGCGGUUUCUUAAGUCUGAUGUGAAAGCCCCCGGCUCAACCGGGGAGGGUCAUUGGAAACUGGGAGACUUGAGUGCAGAAGAGGAGAGUGGAAUUCCAUGUGUAGCGGUGAAAUGCGUAGAUAUAUGGAGGAACACCAGUGGCGAAGGCGGCUCUCUGGUCUGUAACUGACGCUGANGCUCGAAAGCGUGGGGAGCAAACAGGAUUAGAUACCCUGGUAGUCCACGCCGUAAACGAUGAGUGCUAAGUGUUGGAGGGUUUCCGCCCUUCAGUGCUGCAGCUAACGCAUUAAGCACUCCGCCUGGGG